GUCGAUCAUCCGGAUGGACGAAGGAUGUUCUGUUCAUCGUACCAAGUAUUAGAAACCCAUUGAGUUUAAGCACGAAAAUAAGUCGGGAAAGACAAGAAAAUCUGAUGACGAGGCCACGUGUUACCAAUCAAGUGCUGAAAUGGAAGAAAACCUUGAUGAAUGGUUUUUCAUGUGAAGCUACUGAUUUUCCACGCCAGUCUCUGGCCUUCCUAUUCCGUAUGACUUGCUGAUCGGACGGCAGAAAAGG